GAUGAACGCUGGCGGCGUGCCUAAUACAUGCAAGUCGAGCGAACGGACGAGAAGCUUGCUUUUCUGAUGUUAGCGGCGGACGGGUGAGUAACACGUGGAUAACCUACCUAUAAGACUGGGAUAACUUCGGGAAACCGGAGCUAAUACCGGAUAAUAUUUUGAACCGCAUGGUUCAAAAGUGAAAGACGGUCCUGCUGUCACUUAUAGAUGGAUCCGCGCUGCAUUAGCUAGUUGGUAAGGUAACGGCUUACCAAGGCAACGAUGCAUAGCCGACCUGAGAGGGUGAUCGGCCACACUGGAGCUGAGACACGGUCCAGACUCCUACGGGAGGCAGCAGUAGGGAAUCUUCCGCAAUGGGCGAAAGCCUGACGGAGCAACGCCGCGUGAGUGAUGAAGGUCUUCGGAUCGUAAAACUCUGUUAUUAGGGAAGAACAUAUGUGUAAGUAACUGUGCACAUCUUGACGGUACCUAAUCAGAAAGCCACGGCUAACUACGUG
rnacentral:rRNA from 1 species